AUUGAACGCUGGCGGCAGGCCUAACACAUGCAAGUCGAGCGAGCGGCGGACGGGUGAGUAAUGUCUGGGAAACUGCCUGAUGGAGGGGGAUAACUACUGGAAACGGUAGCUAAUACCGCAUACCAUCAGAUGUGCCCAGAUGGGAGUAGCUAGUGGGUGGGGUAAUGGCUCACCUAGGCGACGAUUCCUAGCUGGUCUGGGAGGAUGAGCAGCAACACGGGAACGGAACCACGGUCCAGACCCCUACGGGAGGCAGCAGGGGGGAAUAGUGCAUAAUGGGCGCAAGGCUGAUGCAGCCAUGCCGAGUGUGGGAAGAAGGCCUUCGGGUUGUAAAGCACUUUCAGCGGGGAGGAGGUACCCGAAGAAGAAGCACCGGCUAACUCCGUGCCAGCAGCCGCGGUAAUUC
rnacentral:rRNA from 1 species